ensembl:lncRNA
AUACAGAGUUGUGUUAAAAAGCUGGUCAUCGUUGGUCAUCAACAAGCUGGUGCUUGUGAGAGGGAAAAAGAUGGAUCCGUCUGCAGGUAUGCACAUGUCUGCUGUUCCCCAGAACAAUGAAGUGGUCCACGUCUCUGUCGGUAACCCCAUUAUAACCAUGUAUCAGCCUCAACCACAACCUCCAAACAUUGCACAAAUCAUCACACAGCACGUGAUACCUCAAGAAGUCUCCUGUCAGGCUAUACCGCACACGAUCCCAUCGCACAUCCAAAUGCCAACCCACAUCCAGACUCAGUCACACAUCCAGCCCGCUCCACAUCUGCAGACUCCACCGCAAGGCCACAUGGAAGCACAGGCUCAUAUUCCGACCCAAGACCACGUAUCAAUACAAGGUCCAUCAGAAGGCCAGAGUGCCGAGCCGUCUCAAGAUGGUGCAGUGAACUCACUGCAAGUCCCUUUUGCAGAGGUAGCCUCCCUGCUGGACCCUAACAUGAAGAGCUCAAAGGCUCGCAAAUACCAGAUCCAUUACGACGAGGUGAAGAGGAGAUUGGAACCACCUGAAAAGAUGUCUCUCCGAUCUCUGGCUGCCUAUACAAGAGUGAGUCGAGGUCCGGCUAGUAAGAAAACACUGUUGGAGUCUCUAAAUGUCUUUGGUCUGUCACCAAGCACCAAUACAGCAGUGUCCAGUUCCUUUUCCAAACUAACCGAAGGUGACACGGCUGCCCUUUGCAAAGACAUGAAGGAUUUUGCACUGCAAUAUGUCGAUUAUGAGAAUAUGGCGAAACAGCUGCUACCUGAAACAAACCAAGUGCAGCACUGGUCAAAAAUCAUCGAAACAAGGAAUUAUCUAGAGGAGAUGAGGAAGAUUUUUAAUGACCCUCUGAAUACACGUUUGUUCGCCAAUGUUACGCAUGGCCUUGGUAACGGCAUGAUGGACGUGGCUCUCGAUAUCAUAGAUAACGUCAUCGACCGACAAAUCCGAAUCCUCUCAGGGAACACCGACCCCAAACCUGAACCUCCGGUGAGAAGGAUAAGGAAACGCAACCGCAAGCCCAAAGCCGCCACGGAAGACGGCAAACCUAAAGAAAAGGGCAAAAGGGGACGGAAGAAAGGGAAACAGAUGCGGCUGGAUUCUGUUGUUCCUGAGGUUCAACAGUCCUCGGAGAUGGAGAGCAGCAUGUUAACGCUAGUCUCUGUAGGAUACGAAACCAUUUCCAGUGGACUUAACCCCAACAAUGCAGGUCUUGCGUAACAUCACGUACCUGAAAGGUGCAGAGAGACACUGUGAAUUCUGAGUGCAAAAAGUUUUUCAUAGAAAAUUUUAGUUUUAUAAAUGUUAGACUUCUCUCCUUCUCUCAAGACUGGCUAUAUUUUGUUUAGUUUUUUCUCACAAUCUGGUCAGUCAAGAAAAUAUAAUGUAGGUCUGAGAGGAUGUUGGCAGAGAUGUUUUGAUUUAAACCAAUCAUGUAUUGCCCUCAACCUUUUGUUUUGCCGUUUGUGGCAAAGAACAAGUGUACACAGACCAUCUAUGCUAUUAACGUAGCAUGCAAGCAAUUUUUUUUUCAAGCACUAUGUUGUAUUCACAAUAUCAGUUAGUCUCAUUUUAGAAUUUUAUCUCUGAAGGGUUCUUUGAUUCUGUUGAACUUAAUCUUACAAACUCCAAGCAAUUUAGUUUGAGAAUGAACAUAUCUUCUCUUGGACAUUGUUUGAUUUUUUUGGACUAUUUAUUUCCUUUUUCUGUUUGUGUCUGAUAUUUAGUGUAUGUGAACGACUGUAGCCUGUACUCGGUAAGUUUUGCAGAUUGCCCAUUAUGUGCUUGUAUUAAAAGCUUCACCUUUUUUAAGCAAUUUGUAUAUUUAUUACAUUUAUAUUGCUUGCAGAGCGCCCAAAGAAUCCAUUUUAUUACGAGACUGAAAUUUAUGGAAUGGAUUUAUCGUAAUUACAAUUGCAUAUAAUUAGGGUUAGGGAUUUAAGCAAACCCUUAACCCUGCGUAUUCAUUUUAUGAGUUUUGCAUAUCUCACAUUAUUUGUGCUAUGAGCCAUAGAUAUCUGAAACUAUGUGGGUUUUUUUUUUAAUGUGGGUAUCUUGUGAUUUUCAUUAAAUUACAAAAUAUGGAAUGAGGGACACAAUCAUCAUAAAGAGACUUUUUAUACGAUCCAGUAAGUAACAUGUCACAAUAUGUUUAUAACCAUUCAGAACAGCUUUGCAGCCAAAUAACAUCAUAUAAGCAUUGUGGUGGCAACAUUUAGUUGCUGUUAUAAUGAAUCUAAUUCCUUUCAAAUAUCAAUAAUAGCUAAUUGGUUUGUUUUCAAUUAUGCUCACUUCAAAUGCUUUGUAAUCUUUUGUAUUUUCACAAAAGAUUUCCCCACAAAGCAGCUUUUCUGAAUCCCUGGCGAGCAUGCAGAGAAAAUCCUCACCAUGGAGUCAGAUUUGUAGCUGAGCCAAUGAUAUUGUUUGUCUGUUUGUUGUUUGAUGUGGGCGUUCUGCAGUUCACAGUGUCACCUACAGGUGUCCUGUCCACUGUGAGGCUUUCAUCAGACUGAGGAUUUGGAGUGCAUUAGUGUAGGUCUGAAUCAGCGCAGGCCGUGGAGAGAUAGGGAUUGAGAGGAAGAAAAUAAAUGUGUGAUGAGUGAGAGAGGGAGGAGACAUACUGUACAUACAACCUGGAUAAUAGUGGAAGGAAAACAGGCAGAGGACACAAAAAAGGACAAUAUUGCACAAAUAUAUACUGAUACAAAGCAAGACAUGGAGUUGUGUGAGAAUUCAGAUCAGAAGCAUAGUCUAGACUGCCGUGGUAAUCCAGGACACAAGCAGUGCUGAGAACUAAAGACGUCAUCACAACCUCACACACAGACAUAUGGACAAGAUGGGGGCCAGUCGUCCACUACCUAAUGCGCCCAAGGGUAAGUGACAACAGCCACAAUGGAAAGACUGUCUGAAAGAUGUACAUUUUGAUGUACAUUUUCUAUUCUCAGAUUCACUAAGUGCUGCAAUAGAGGCCAUCAGUGUGAGCCCAGAACUUGUCGAGGAGGAACUAAAGCCAUAUUUGGACACAGUACUCAAUGUUGCCAUAGAAAGAAGUGAGUAUUUCAUGUUUUUGUUAUAUAAUUUAAGAUUUAGAUUAUUUGUUUGGGACUGGAGAAGUCAAGAGUGUUCAUGUAGAUAUGCAUAGAACUAGUUGAGUGCUUAUGUAACAAAAACCAAGCCCUGAGCUUUAUACAGGAUGUUAUAUUUUUUGACAUUUCUUAAUAUAUUAUGCCUUUAGAAAGUAGUUUCUUUAAAGUAAACUGAAACAGUUGUCAAUUGGUAUGAGCUUGCUUUAGCUAGUUAGAUGCAGAAUGUGUCCGCACUUUGAGUGAGUUCUGAAAGCUGCUUAGUGCGUAUAGCUAUUACACUUUGGCUAUACCUGACCAAGGCUACUAUCAUAAGUUAUUAUGCGUCUCUCUGGGAAACUUGAUUUUGCGUGGUCCAUUGCAACAUUCUAAGGUUGAAUAUCUUUGCAUAACGAACUUUUUCAUCCUAAGCAAAUGGUUUCUUUCAUACUUCAUAACUAUGCUGGUUUUGUCUCUUGAUCCACUUUGCAUUAAAUAUAUUCUCACAUAGUCAAAUAAUAUAAACUUAAACCAAUGUUUGAUGUGUAAAAAGCAGGAUAAUGUAUUAUGUACUGAAAUGAUACAAGACCCUGUGAGGUUUAUUUUGCAAAAAUGAACAAGUGACUGCGUUAUCCCCUACAUAUCACAAAUCACCGAGCACAGGUGAGAAACCAUAAUUAAUACAUCAACAAGGAUAGCUGGGAAAAGGAUACACAACUCCUGUGGAUUUGAAAACAGAGACGCUCUAAUCCGCAUUUGUCUCUGUGAGAGCCAUUGAGUGACAGGUACGAUUAGCCAGACUGCUCCUUUGUACACAAGCAACCAGGUGGCCAGCUGUGAGCGACCUCUGUAGUUUGUGGAAACAUCAUUUGUUAAUCUGUGCAUAUGUUCACUAAGGACAACUGGAUAAGAAUGGUCUAGCUUGCAUGAUGUACACAAUUUAUCCAAUUUGUUGUACUUUCAGAGGAAUGGGAUAUAUAUUAAUAACCGUUUAAAAGUCUGGGCUCAGUACAAUUAAAAAUUAAUCAGUUUAUUCUCCAAGGACACAUUAAAUUGAUCAACAAAAAGCGAGUAAAGACAUUUAUAAUUUUACCAAAAAAAAGUAUUUAAAAUAAAUACUGUUCUUUUGAAGUUUGUAUUCAUCAAUGAAUCCUAGACAAAUGUAUCAGUUUCCACAAAAAUAUUUAGCAGCACAACUGUUUUCAACAUAAUAAUAAUAAUAAGAAAUUACUUUUUCUUAAUAAGAAAUCACAUUUUCUUUCAGCAUAUUGGAAAGUUCAUGUGCUGAAAAUUCAACUUUGCCAUUACAGAAAUAAUUCACAUUUUAAAAAAUGUUAAAGUAGAGAAUGGUUAUUAAUUGUAAUCAUAUUCCACAAUAUCAUUGUUUUACUGUAUUUUGUAUAAAAUAAAAUGCAGACUUGGAGAGCAUAAGACACUUCUUUUAAAAACAUUGAUACUGUACAUAUUACUCACCCCAAGCUUUGUGUAAUGUGUUUUUCCUGUCCUAGAGAAAGGCAUAUCAGAGCAGGUGGUAGAAAGUGGGAUUCUGCCUGUUCUGGCUCAGAUUUUAAGAAGAAAGAGCACGCUCACUACUCACACUGCCAGACUGGUAGCUGAACUGGCCAGAGAUG